GAAAGGCGAUAAGUAAUGUGAAUUGCAGAAUUCAGUGAAUCAUCGAAUCUUUGAACGCACCUUGCGCUCCUUGGUAUUCCUUGGAGCAUGCCUGUUUGAGUAUCAUGAAAUCUUCAAAGUAAAUCUUUUGUUAACUCAAUUGGUUUCUACUUUGGUAUUGGAGGUCUUUGCAGCUUCACACCUGCUCCCCUUUGUUCAUUAGCUGGAUCUCAGUGUUAUGCUUGGUUCCACUCGGCGUGAUAAGUUAUCUAUCGCUGAGGACACUGUAAAAGGUGGCCAAGGUAAAUGCAGAUGAACCGCUUCUAAUAGUCCAUUGACUUGGACAAUACUUUUAUGAUCUGAUCUCAAAUCAGGUAGGACUACCCGCUGAACUUAAGC
rnacentral:misc_RNA from 1 species